GAGAGACCUCACUCAUUAGCAUUCCACAGCCAUGGACUAAACGCUGACAACUAACAGAGAUAUCCAGCUCUACACCACUGCAUGCAUUCUCCCCCUUUGUCUUCUUCCCCUUGGCCCUUCAUUUUCAGCGGACAGAUCUCUCGUCACAGCCAACACAUUUUUAUUUAUGCCUUCUCUCUCUUUUUGCACGAAUGGAGCCCGCGUGCACAAGAGAGAAAACCCUUCCAGUAAAGCAGAAGGAGAGAAAAAGGGGGGAGUGAUGUUGUAAAAGCUGUGCAGAAGUGACAGCGCUAAGCACACUGGCUCUGCUGGGGAGAGAUACAAUACUGUGUGACUUGACAAAACAGACGUAGGAGAUGGUUUCAAUGUCAACCUUAACUGCUAUUAUUUAGAUAUUUGGAGGAUUAAAAACUGGAGCCUGUAUGCUUCAUUGCGAAGCUUCUGGGCUCGGGACAUAGCCCAGAAAUAUAUUGAUUAAAGCACACAGGCUUAUUUAAAACACUGAACGAGGAAGAAGAGGCUGGAAUCAAGCUUGGUCAAAGGCGGAUGGAUGAAGACUCACGGCAGAAAAAAAAAAAGCGAUCAAUGCCGCAGCGCUCUCUCAUUCACCCUGAACUGGCGAUGAACUCCUACGGAACGCCGCCAGGCUCUCCACCCUAUUCCAUCGCAGUCCGGGGUCAGCAGGGGGGCGUCUCUGUGCCAAUAUGCAGAUGAGCCUGUGCCCCUCCAAUGACUCUGAUGUGAAGCUCCACCCCCUCUAUAUGGUAGAGAGCCCCCCCUUCUCUUGACAACACUCCCACACAUAGAGACAUAAACCCGCUCCCUCACUGGCUUAAAUAGGCCUUUAACAGCUUACGUCCACUCUUCCUUUAAUAGCCAAAGUGUGUCCGACCUAAUGGAUGUUGUCAAAGCUGAGAUGUGAGUAAUGAUUUAGAGGAGAAACCCCAAUGACCAGGCUUCACGUGCAACUAAAAGACCCAGGGAAAGAGAGAGAGAGAGAGAGAGAGAGAGAGAGAGAGAGAGAGAGAGUGAGUGAGUGGGAGAGCGAGAAUUACCUCAGCUCUGCCACAAAUCAAAGUAAUAUCUUUAAAAGAUGCGGGGAUCGAUGAGGUGUCAUCUGGCUGUAUCUGGUGUGUUAAGUGAACCCAUAAACAGCCAAUGAGCAAGCUUAAUCCUCACUUUGAGUCCCUUACAGGAAAAGUUUUCUUUAAAGUAACAAGCAGAUUUUUUUAAUGAGCUAUUGAUUUCAUGUAUUGUUUAAACAUGAUAUUACAUUAAAAGGGCUCUAAUGUCUUCAUCAUAUAUUGGGUUUAAUUGAUGCAGCUUUUCAAAAUAAAGUGCCUUGUGUGUUUAUUUGUGCCUGCUUUCUUGCAUUCACUGUAAAUCAAUUAAGUUGCUAAUUCUAACAAGAUCAAUGUAAUUGCAUUAAUUCAAUAAAGUCUAUUGUAA